rnacentral:rRNA from 1 species
GACGAACGCUGGCGGCGUGCCUAAUACAUGCAAGUCGAACGCUUCUUUCCUCCCGAGUGCUUGCACUCAAUUGGAAAGAGGAGUGGCGGACGGGUGAGUAACACGUAGGUAACCUACCCAUCAGAGGGGGAUAACACUUGGAAACAGGUGCUAAUACCGCAUAACAGUUUAUGCCGCAUGGCAUAAGAGUGAAAGGCGCUUUCGGGGGUCGCUGAUGGAUGGACCCGCGGUGCAUUAGCUAGUUGGUGAGGUAACGGCUCACCAAGGCCACGAUGCAUAGCCGACCUGAGAGGGUGAUCGGCCACACUGGGACUGAGACACGGCCCAGACUCCUACGGGAGGCAGCAGUAGGGAAUCUUCGGCAAUGGACGAAAGUCUGACCGAGCAACGCCGCGUGAGUGAAGAAGGUUUUCGGAUCGUAAAACUCUGUUGUUAGAGAAGAACAAGGACGUUAGUAACUGAACGUCCCCUGACGGUAUCUAACCAGAAAGCCACGGCUAACUACGUG